GUGAGGAAUAUUGGUCAAUGGACGAAAGUCUGAACCAGCCAUGCCGCGUGCAGGAUGAAUGCCCUAUGGGUUGUAAACUGCUUUUAUGUAGGAAUAAACCCCCUCUCGUGAGAGGGGCUGAAGGUACUACAAGAAUAAGGACCGGCUAACUCCGUGCCAGCAGCCGCGGUAAUACGGAGGGUCCAAGCGUUAUCCGGAUUUAUUGGGUUUAAAGGGUCCGCAGGCGGGAAAAUAAGUCAGUGGUGAAAUCCUAUCGCUUAACGAUAGAACUGCCAUUGAUACUGUUUUUCUUGAGUGUAAUUGAAGUGGGCGGAAUGUGUCAUGUAGCGGUGAAAUGCAUAGAUAUGACACAGAACACCGAUUGCGAAGGCAGCUCACUAAAUUAUUACUGACGCUCAGGGACGAAAGCGUGGGGAGCAAACAGGAUUAGAUACCCCAGUAGUCC
rnacentral:rRNA from 1 species